AUAGGUUAAUGAGGCGAACCGGGGGAACUGAAACAUCUAAGUACCCCGAGGAAAAGAAAUCAACCGAGAUUCCCCCAGUAGCGGCGAGCGAACGGGGAGGAGCCCAGAGCCUGAAUCAGUGUGUGUGUUAGUGGAAGCGUCUGGAAAGGCGCGCGAUACAGGGUGACAGCCCCGUACACAAAAAUGCACAUACUGUGAGCUCGAUGAGUAGGGCGGGACACGUGGUAUCCUGUCUGAAUAUGGGGGGACCAUCCUCCAAGGCUAAAUACUCCUGACUGACCGAUAGUGAACCAGUACCGUGAGGGAAAGGCGAAAAGAACCCCGGCGAGGGGAGUGAAAAAGAACCUGAAACCGUGUACGUACAAGCAGUGGGAGCCUCUUAAUGGGGUGACUGCGUACCUUUUGUAUAAUGGGUCAGCGACUUAUAUUCUGUAGCAAGGUUAACCGAAUAGGGGAGCCGAAGGGAAACCGAGUCUUAACUGGGCGUUAAGUUGCAGGGUAUAGACCCGAAACCCGGUGAUCUAGCCAUGGGCAGGUUGAAGGUUGGGUAACACUAACUGGAGGACCGAACCGACUAAUGUUGAAAAAUUAGCGGAUGACUUGUGGCUGGGGGUGAAAGGCCAAUCAAACCGGGAGAUAGCUGGUUCUCCCCGAAAGCUAUUUAGGUAGCGCCUCGUGAAUUCAUCUCCGGGGGUAGAGCACUGUUUCGGCAAGGGGGUCAUCCCGACUUACCAACCCGAUGCAAACUGCGAAUACCGGAGAAUGUUAUCACGGGAGACACACGGCGGGUGCUAACGUCCGUCGUGAAGAGGGAAACAACCCAGACCGCCAGCUAAGGUCCCAAAGUCAUGGUUAAGUGGGAAACGAUGUGGGAAGGCCCAGACAGCCAGGAUGUUGGCUUAGAAGCAGCCAUCAUUUAAAGAAAGCGUAAUAGCUCACUGGUCGAGUCGGCCUGCGCGGAAGAUGUAACGGGGCUAAACCAUGCACCGAAGCUGCGGCAGCGACACUAUGUGUUGUUGGGUAGGGGAGCG
rnacentral:rRNA from 1 species